rnacentral:lncRNA from 1 species
GUAACUUCUAUAAAGUCAUAUAUAAUUUUAUACUGAGCAUUUUUCUGGGAUGCUUUUUCUUCUUUGUUUGCUAUUCUUUGCAUUGAGUAAGUACAGACCACUGUAUAAAUAACACUACUGCUUAGAUAGCAUUCCAGUAACAAUUUUUGUCCUAGGUUACCACCCAAAUGUUCUGAGCAGUAGCAUUAAUUUCUAUUUAUAGAAAACAGAUGAGAACCUGUAAGAGUGAAGGGUAAACCAAUUUAGUCUGUAAAAUAAAUGCAAAGUUGUACUUGAUAUGCUUAGUCCUUACUUUUCACGGCAUGUGAGGAAUGUCCUCAUGAUUUGUCAAAUACAUAUGGGGUGAUUUGGAAAAAGGCCAUCUACCUUGUGGCAUUAUACAAAUAGAGACUGCUGCUGCACUCAACAAUACACAAGACUAAAAGAAUUUGAUCCCCCUGAGAUUUACUUGGAAAUAUGAUUGUAAGGAAAUUGGAUUGCUUUGCUGAUAUUCAUUACUGCAGAGAAAAUGUGGUGAAAGGAUGAUCAAAAGUGAGACCAAGAAAAGUGUAUCAGAGGGCUGUGGCCAUAUUCUCCCUCCAGAGCAUGCAGAACUGUGACUUUUUGAAGCUACCGGCUGCUCUAAAAAGAGCUAAGACUAAUGGACUAAAAAGAUCUGUGAGUUGUGUGUACUGGGAUGGUGUCUGAAGUCUGUUCUUCCUACACCACCCCCUUUCUUCAGAAAUAAAUAUAUAAAAAUGUUAAUAUUUCCAUUUCUCUUCGGGGUCCUUCUGCAGAGGAUGGAAAGGAACUUGGAUCCUAUGUCUGUAUCUCAUGCUAAGAGUAAGCUGGACAAAUGCCAAGUCAACUGCUUUAAAAGUAUUAGAAGAGGACACCAAUAAUUUAACUGUCUUGGGUGUGGAGUGGAGUACAUGAGAAGACAAGGACAAGUUGAAAUGCUGUAGGAAAAAUGAAAAGGUGAGAGGUUUAUUUAAUAAAGGAGUGUGUCUGUUACA